UGUGGUUGAAUUACAACGUCAAAUUGCAAAUUUGAAGGUGUGCAUAAAAUAGCUCUAGAGCUU
rnacentral:tRNA from 2 species